rnacentral:rRNA from 1 species
GACGAACGCUGGCGGCGUGCCUAAUACAUGCAAGUAGAACGCAGUUGCGAACGGGUGAGUAACGCGUAGCUAACUGCCUCAUAUCGGGGGUUACCCAUUUGCAACGAAAGCUAAUACCGCAUACUGUUAGAUGGACCUGCGUUGUAUUAGCUAGUUGGUGGGGUAAAGGCUCACCAAUGCGACGAUACAUAGCCGGACUGAGAUGGUGAUCGGCCCACCUGGGACUGAGACACGGCCCAGACUUCUGCGGGAGGCAGGAGUAGGGAAUCUUCGGCAAUGGACGGAAGUCUGGCCGAGCAAAGCCGCGUGAGUGGAGAAGGUUUUCGGAUCGGAAAGGUCUGUUGUUAGAGAAGCGGUAACUAACCAGAAAGGGACGGCUAACUACGUGCCAGCCGCCGCGGUAAUUC